rnacentral:rRNA from 1 species
UACGGGGGGGGCAAGCGUUGUUCGGAAUUACUGGGCGUAAAGGGCUCGUAGGCGGCCAACUAAGUCCGACGUGAAAUCCCCAGGCUUAACCUGGGAACUGCGUCGGAUACUGGAUGGCUUGAAUCCGGGAGAGGGAUGCGGAAUUCCAGGUGUAGCGGUGAAAUGCGUAGAUAUCUGGAGGAACACCGGUGGCGAAGGCGGCAUCCUGGACCGGCAUUGACGCUGAGGCGCGAAAGCCAGGGGAGCAAACGGG